rnacentral:rRNA from 1 species
CAGCCGCCACGGUAAUACGGAGGGGGCUAGCGUUGUUCGGAAUUACUGGGCGUAAAGCGCACGUAGGCGGCUUGGUAAGUUAGAGGUGAAACCCUGGAGCUCAACUCCAGAAUUGCCUUUAAGACUGCCGAGCUAGCAGGUGAGAGAGGUAAGUGGAAUUCCGAGUGUAGAGGUGAAAUUCGUAGAUAUUCGGAAGAACACCAGUGGCGAAGGCGGCUUACUGGCUCAUACUGGACGCUGAGGUGCGAAAGCGUGGGGAGCAAACAGGAUUAGAUACCCCAGUAGUCCCUGUCUCUUAUAC